AUACGGAGGGUGCGAGCGUUACUCGGAAUCACUGGGCGUAAAGCGCGCGCAGGCGGCUUGAUAAGUUGGAUGUGAAAGCCUACGGCUCAACCGUAGAACUGCAUCCAAAACUGUCAGGCUAGAGUGUGGGAGAGGAAGAUGGAAUUAGUUGUGUAGGGGUAAAAUCCGUAGAGAUAACUAGGAAUACCAAAAGCGAAGGCAAUCUUCUGGAACACUACUGACGCUGAGGCGCGAAGGCGUGGGGAGCAAACAGGAGUAGAAACCCGGGUAGUCC
rnacentral:rRNA from 1 species